UACAGAGGAUGCAAGCGUUGUCCGGAAUUAUUGGGCGUAAAGAGCUCGUAGGCGGUCUGUCGCGUCGGCUGUGAAAACUCGGGGCUCAACUCCGAGCUUGCAGUCGAUACGGGCAGGCUAGAGUUCGGCAGGGGAGACUGGAAUUCCCGGUGUAGCGGUGAAAUGCGCAGAUAUCGGGAGGAACACCGGUGGUGUAGACGGCUUACUGGACCAUAACUGACGCUGAGACACGAAAGCGUGGGUAGCAAACAGG
rnacentral:rRNA from 1 species